AUCGAGGUUCGACUAAGCCAUGCGAGUCGAAUGUAGCAGUACAUGGCGAACUGCUCAGUAACACGUGGACAACCUGCCCUUAGGUUGGGUAUAAACCCGGGAAACUGGGUAUAAUACCCGAUAGGUCUCGAUUGCUGGAAUGCAUCGAGAUUUAAAGCUCCGGCGCCUAAGGAUGGGUCUGCGGCCUAUCAGGUAGUAGUGGGUGUAGCGUACCUACUAGCCUACGACGGGUACGGGUUGUGAGAGCAAGAGCCCGGAGAUGGAUUCUGAGACACGAAUCCAGGCCCUACGGGGUGCAGCAGGCGCGAAAACUUUACAAUGCUGGCAACAGCGAUAAGGGAACCUCGAGUGCCAGGUUACAAAUCUGGCUGUCGAGAUGCCUAAAAAGCAUUUCAUAGCAAGGGCCGGGCAAGACCGGUGCCAGCCGCCGCGGUAACACCGGCGGCUCGAGUGGUAACCGUUAUUAUUGGGUCUAAAGGGUCUGUAGCCGGCCGGAUAAGUCUCUUGAGAAAUCUGGCAGCUUAACUGUCAGGCUUUCAGGAGAUACUGUCUGGCUCGAGGCCGGGAGAGGUGAGAGGUACUUCAGGGGUAGGGGUGAAAUCUUGUAAUCCUUGAAGGACCACCAGUGGCGAAGGCGUCUCACCAGAACGGACCUGACGGCAAGGGACGAAAGCUAGGGGCACGAACCGGAUUAGAUACCCGGGUAGUCCUAGCCGUAAACGAUACUCGCUAGGUGUCGGCCACGGUGCGACCGUUGUCGGUGCCGUAGGGAAGCCGUGAAGCGAGC
rnacentral:rRNA from 1 species